GGGGCUGUAGCUCAGUUGGGAGAGCACCUGCUUUGCAAGCAGGGGGUCGCCCGUUCGAAUCGGGUCAGCUCCACUA
rnacentral:tRNA from 1 species